UACGAAGGGGGCUAGCGUUGUUCGGAAUUACUGGGCGUAAAGCGCACGUAGGCGGGUCGUUAAGUCAGGGGUGAAAUCCCAGAGCUCAACUCUGGAACUGCCUUUGAUACUGGCGAACUAGAGUUCGGAAGAGGUUAGUGGAAUUCCCAGUGUAGAGGUGAAAUUCGUAGAUAUUGGGAAGAACACCAGUGGCGAAGGCGGCGAACUGGUCCGAUACUGACGCUGAGGUGCGAAAGCGUGGGGAGCAAACAGG
rnacentral:rRNA from 1 species